CCCUCUUUAUAGUACGGUUAUCUAUCCUAAAUCCACUCACACCCGCUAGGUGUCUUGAGUGGUAAAACAAAAUGGCCCUAAUAAAAAUACCUUUGCCUUGAGCCCAUUUUAUUUUUCUCUUUCUUCUUUUCCAAGUUGGAGCACUUGAAUAUCAUCUUUUGGUCACCUCCAUCACCAUGACCAUCAUCUAGCUCCAAUACUUGGUGUGUACCAACCUAUCCUUAUAUUUCACUCAUGACAAAGGUUAGUACACAUAGGUUUCAUCAAUUAUCCAAAACCAAACUAGGACUUUCAAGAGGUGGGCGGGCGCCCUGACCAACUGGGCGGCCGCCCAGGGUCUGGCCCCGAUUCGCCUCCGCUUCGGUCUCGUGGCUUCUGGAGUCUUCUAGAUGUAAGAUAAUUGCACAGCACGUUAAUAUCUUUACGUAAUCCUGACAUGUGGGUCUUUCUUCCAUAUUUCCUGAUAACUCCCUGCAGAAAUAGAUAAACACCAAAACUCGUGGAAUUCUGUCAGAUAAAACCCUAAGUCUGGAUCUUGUUUUCAUUUGGAUCCUUUUCUUUAUUUAUUUGAUAAUUAAAUUUGAUACUUAAGGAUCAUCAACACUAAGCAAAUCAGGAUGAGAAGAAGGCGACACAACCGAAACCAGAGAAGGCAAAUCAACAAGGACGGAUGGGCAGACUACAAAGGAGAUGUAAUAAGGUCUGAAGACAUACAACAUGAAUAGAACUGUCCUGAGGAGACCGUAGCACCGAGUCAGGUGUGGAGAGAGAAGAUAAUUAUACAUGAAGAGGAGGCGCCGCCGGAACCACCGACUACACCAUCGAGCGAAUCUGAGGACGACUGAGGAAACGGAGAGUCCCAUUCGGAGGACUUAAAAAACAUCGAAUGCCUUGCCAAGAGGUAAACUUGGUAGUUAUCGUUUUCCUUUCAAUUAUUCAAUUAUAGUUUGCUUAGUUAAUCAGGUUCAUGCUAUCUUGAAAAGAAAAUAAAAAUAUUAAAAAAUAGUAAGCCCCAUGUGAGUAUGCUCAUGGCAUAAAACCCAUAAGUACAUUCACUGUGGUGGCAUAAAAAUAAAAUAAAUAUAUUCCGGUCCUAUAAAAAUAAAAAUAUAAAAAUAAAUUUAUGAUCCUACCAAAGAGAGUAAUAUUUAUUAGAGGAAGCUCAACAUGAUUACGGCUAAGAGAUUUUAUGCUAACAUUUAACCAGUUCCACAAAGCUUUGUUGUCUAUUUGAGCUCCACAGAAUUCAAGGAUCAAAGAAGACUAGCAGACGGAGGACAUCCUAAAUCGUUGUCAGGGUGCUGCCGACAUUCAAAUACACCUCUGUCACCUGCUAGCUACAUCAGAAGAAAUUACGUCAAAAUCCAGCUUGGGGGAGAGCACCCCCAUUUAUCCAGCUAAGUGUUUCUACUUGCGUUUAUACUUUACUCAAAUAAUAAAAAGAUGCAUAAUCAUAAAAACCCAAAUAAAGAUUUUGUGUUGUUUGCUUAGUUUGCUAAAUAAAUAAAUAAAUAAAGUUUGCUAUGAACCGUCAUGAUAAGCUCUCACAUGGAAAUGAUGAAUAGUUGCUCUACCAUGACUAGUUCUCAAAAUUGAGCUCUCUCUCAAGUUUUAGGCAUAAUUGUUAUAAUUUAAACCUGCUCUAAACCUGAACUUGUGGGAAGAGUACUUGAUCUAAAGUCUAAGUCAUUAACGGAUAUGAUAUGGGAAGGUUGAGCUGUUGUUUAUCUAUUCCUAGAGAUGCUAGAAUUCUGGAGAAUUAUCUUUGAAAAUCUUUAAAAUAACACAUGAUGAGUUCCUGUAUGAUGAGAGUUUAAAUUCCUACCACAGCCAUAUAUACAUGCUUGCUAGACUUUGAGCCACACAUUUACUUUUUACUGCUUAUGAGCAUUGAGUGUGGUCAAGCUGUGUAGACCCUUAGGUGCUUGUCAUGCGGUUAAAAUCAAGAUUCACUUGCACGUUCACUCACACAUGCUGCUUCUACUCCGGAUGUACGCAUCCACAUAUAUCCACUCACUUCCAUCUCCAGAGCCACCCAAAAGUAUUUUACUCCUAAUCCGGGAGAGAAUAGCCAAAAACAUUUCUAUUUUUCCCUGUGAAAUAAAUGCUCGAGUUAUCUUGGUUACUACCACUUGCUAUAUUAUUUAAGGAGAUGAGUGCUCUAAAAAAAAGGAUACGAGGAAAUAAAAAAGGACAAGUGCUCGGAACCUCAAAGAAAAGAAAAAGUGAGACGAGAGGUAAAAAUGGACAAGUGUCCGACAGUAGAAUUAGGGGUACAAGAUACCCAUCUGAGAAAAAGAAAAAGAAGAGCAUCUCAUUCUCCUCACAAAGUUUCAAAAAGCAAGAAAGGUAUGUAUCCCCUUGAAAGAGCAAGGUAGAAUUAGACUUCCACCAUUACCACCAUCAUCACCAUACACCAUUCAAUCGCCACACAUGCACAUCUUGAUUUGGCUUAAUGAUUUGUUUCUUUGGAUCCAUGGUUUGACUAUACAAUAAAUGUCUUGUAAGUAUGUAUAUUUUAUCUCCCACCUAUGAGCUCCAGAUAUUAAAGCCUUAUUAGAGUAGGGUGAGAGAGAAGGCAAUGUCACUAUGCCUUAUACCACAAAUACCACAUACUUUGAAAGAAGGCAUACACCAUUACUGCCUUGGAAAGGACCC
rnacentral:lncRNA from 1 species